CACUGUAAAGCUACUUAGCAUUAACCUUUUAAGUUAAAGACAGAGAGGAUUUCUCUACAGUGA
rnacentral:tRNA from 1 species